GAAUCCCGUCUUUGGCACGGAUGUACCGGGGCUUUUAUGAUGCGCUCUCGAAGAGUCGAGUUGUUUGGGAAUGCAGCUCAAAAUGGGUGGUGAACUCCAUCUAAAGCUAAAUAUUGGCGAGAGACCGAUAGCGAACAAGUACCGUGAGGGAAAGAUGAAAAGCACUUUGGAAAGAGAGUGAAACAGUACGUGAAAUUGUUGAAAGGGAAACGCUUGAAGUCAGUCGCGUCGACCGAGACUCAGCCUCGCCUCGGCUUGGUGUACUUCUCGGCUGACGGGUCAGCAUCAAUUUUGACCGUUGGAUAAAGUCGUUGGGAAUGUGGCAUCUUAGGAUGUGUUAUAGCCCAUCGUCGCAUACAGCGGUUGGGAUUGAGGAACUCAGCACGCCCUUCUGGGGACGGGUUUCGACCACGUUUCGUGCUUAGGAUGCUGGCAUAAUGGCUUUAAUCGACCCGUCUUGAAACACGGACCAAGGAGUCUAACAUGCCUGCGAGUGUUUGGGUGGAAAACCCAUGCGCGCAAUGAAAGUGAAAGUUGAGAUCCCCUCAAGGGGAGCAUCGACGCCCGGACCAGAGCUUCUGUGACGGAUCCGCGGUAGAGCAUGUAUGUUGGGACCCGAAAGAUGGUGAACUAUGCCUGAAUAGGGUGAAGCCAGAGGAAACUCUGGUGGAGGCUCGUAGCGAUUCUGACGUGCAAAUCGAUCGUCAAAUUUGGGUAUAGGGGCGAAAGACUAAUCGAACCAUCUAGUAGCUGGUUCCUGCC
rnacentral:rRNA from 1 species